CUGACCACCUCUUCCUAUGCCUCUUUCUAUCCUUUAGGCUCCACCACUUGCUGGGAGCCUUAAAGACAUCAGAUCAAGGUGAUGAGAUGAAGGACCAGGAGUUGGAGCAAAUCACCCAUGACUGAGGGGGAAAGAAGAGUUGGGGAUGUCUUGUGUGAGUGAGUCUUCCUGUUGCUCAGGAGAGGAGAUAAGGGAAUUAAUCUACCAGAGCAACAUCCAUUUCUCCCACCAGGCUAACUGAGCUGGGGACACCAGGCCAGCUGAGCAUAGACUAAAGUGGUUUUCUUUUUCUUCCAUUCCCCCCUCACCCCAGGGCUUGGAUCCAGGCUUGAUGCAUGCACAGCAUGUGCUGGACCCUGAGCUUCACCUCUAG
rnacentral:lncRNA from 1 species